rnacentral:rRNA from 1 species
UACGGGGGGGAGACAGUGUUGUGAUUUACUGGGCGUAAAGCGCACGUAGGCGGAUCGUUAAGUCGAGGGUGAAAUCCUGGAGCUCAACUCCAGAACUGCCUUCGAUACUGGCGAUCUAGAGUCCGGAAGAGGUGAGUGGAACUCCUAGUGUAGAGGUGGAAUUCGUAGAUAUUCGGAAGAACACCAGUGGCGAAGGCGGCUCACUGGACCGGCAUUGACGCUGAGGUGCGAAAGCGUGGGGAGCAAACAGG